UACGAAGGGGGCUAGCGUUGUUCGGAAUUACUGGGCGUAAAGCGCACGUAGGCGGAUUGUUAAGUCGGGGGUGAAAUCCUGAGGCUCAACCUCAGAACUGCCUUCGAUACUGGCGAUCUUGAGUUCGGAAGAGGUUGGUGGAACAGCUAGUGUAGAGGUGAAAUUCGUAGAUAUUAGCUGGAACACCAGUGGCGAAGGCGGCCAACUGGUCCGAUACUGACGCUGAGGUGCGAAAGCGUGGGGAGCAAACAGG
rnacentral:rRNA from 1 species